GUGGUGUUACUUUUCAAUUGGGCCGCUUUUUAGAAGCCACGCGUAGGGCUUCUAUCAACACCAUCUGCCACACAUUCAAAAACCUGAUAAAAAACCACCGCGUAGGAGAGAGAUUGAUAAAAACCCACCGCAUCAAAGAGAGAGAGAGAGAGAGCGUGCACGAAGGAACAAAAUCAGGUGGCUGAUGACGACGAUGACGAUGGAUUCGGGGUAACAGUUAAGGUCUGAGAUGAACCGACGAUAGGUACGAACACAGAUCCGGGAAGCCGGAAACGAGGGAGAUGAGCGGCGGUGGGUUUUCUCGCCGGUUCCGCAUGUGAGAUAGGCUCGCAAUUUCAGGUAAUCUCUUGGUUUUCUCAUUUUCAACCACAGAGAGAGACUGUGGUGGUUGUUGUUCCGCUGCGACCUACCACCGGCGACCAUUCCAGGGACGGCACCAACGUCUCGAUGACGGCGGCCAGUCCCAGGCGGUCUAGGGUUUUGAUCGACUAUUAUCGGCCAGUCCCAGGCGGUCUAGGGUUUUGAUCAGCGGUCUCAAUAAUGACUACAGAGGCCUCCAGCAGGCGUGAAACAACUGCUUGGCUCCCGGAGAUGUAUAUUCCGAACUCUAACCCUGACAAUUGGGCAUAUGGUAUGUACGCCCUAUUACAGCCUUAUUUUUUUAACAAUCAUACUGGGAUUAUUUUUUUACAAAAUAGUUGUGGUCGCUUUUAGUGUUAACUCUUAAAUUGCAUAAUUGAUUUCAUUUUAUUUUGUUUUGGUUUCAAUCUAAUAUUGGUACCUUUUUGCAACAUUGAUAUAGUAAACAACCAUUAUUGUAAAUCCAAUCAGAUUUGCGUGCGACCAACCUGUUCUUUUACGAAAUUAGUAAAUUUGUUCAUCAACAAAGCUGAUAGGCUGCUUGACUACUCUCAGUUGAUGAUUAUUGGUACAACGCUUCAUCAUUCUACAUCACAGUCGCACCAUGAUGGCGGUUAUUUUAGACGAUUAUGGUUUUCAAUUUGGUUUCGACAGAUGAUGAUUUGCCGACAUCCUUCAUGCAAUCAUUUUCAUCGAUUGAGGUAUAUACAUGUGAUUUUGUGUGUAUUAUUAGCAGGGCAGGUUGUAUUAAAUAGGAUUUUGGUUGACUUCGAUUGAGUGUUUUUCCCUUUUAUGUGAUUGUAGAUUGCAUAUAUUCACCGGAAAUUCACGUUUUCACUUCCGCUCUUCGCAUUCGGGGAGAGAAAGUCAGAAACCAGAUAAAACGAGAGGGAGAUGUGGAAGAACGGCCAGUGUUCAGGAAACGGCAGGUCUCUGGUGAAUGACCUUACGAAUGCUCACCUACCACCCAUGGAACCUCAGAUGCACGGGGAUGAGAGCGGUGAUGAGGUGGUGGCUCGAAGUCGAAACAGAGACGGAGACGGAGAGGGUAAAGACGGUGGCAGCGAAGUCGAAACAAAGACGGAGAGGGUAAAGACGGUGGCGGCUCAAGGGUUUUCCGGUGGUCUCCGUUUGUUUCCGGCAAAGAUGGUAAAAACCCGAACCUUAGUUCUUUUCCCGGUGAACUAGAUUCUGUUAACGAUCGGUGGUUGCAGCGGUGUCAUGGCGGUGGUGGUGGUUCCGGCGAGAUAUCACGGCGACGAUGGUGGUUAGUAACCCUAGCCGCCGCCUUCGGUGAGGUGCUCUUUUGAAGGUGAAGGGGUGAUUGAUUCAGGUUGUGGAGAUUGUGAUUGAGGAAGGGGAAGACGAGGACAGCCAAGCAGCACCUUCCAGUGGUGUCGGCUACUCAACAGGUCCAGCAUUUUCGACACUAAAGCUGGCAUUGCAUUGAACAACAACUUUUUGAGAAUGAGGUUACAGUAACCAUGUGGUCGACUUGAUUUGCCACAUAGCACGAGUUAGCGUGGUUGUCAUGAGCGCAGUUUUUCCUAUCACGCUGUGACUAUCACCGCUGAUUAAGAAAUUUGUAGGGCUUACAGGUGAUACUUGCAGUUCAGAGAAGAAUACCAGGUUCUAUUUGAUGGUAGAAUAUGACAAGGAACAGAUGCAUUCAAAGCUUUAACCCUCGGUGCAAAGCGGUUAUGGUUGGGCGAGCGAUGGUGUAUGGGUUAACAACAAAAGGUGAGUAUGGAGUAAAUACAGUGAUCGAGAUGUUGAAGGACGAACCUGAGUUCACAAUGGCUCUUUCCGGCUGCCCCACUCUCAACAAUGCUACCAGGAAUCAUAUCAGAACUUAGGCCGGUAAACGCUAUUGUAGAUUGCAGUUUUAAAGUAUCUUAUGAAGAAUCAUUUGAUAUUAAUUUAUAUAAUCCAGAAUAAUAAAUUGAAGGUACUAAUGGAUCGUCUAAGACUAGAUUUGUUUUGUGUUGGAAAUUAAAAAAUAGUUGCUUUGUUCAAAAGUAUUGCACUUUAAUACUUUCUUUUCCAAAUUCAAAUGAUUUGAAUGCUAAUUGGAGUUUGUUAAGCGG